GAUUGAACGCUGGCGGCAGGCUUAACACAUGCAAGUCGAGCGGAGAUGAGGUGCUUGCACCUUAUCUUAGCGGCGGACGGGUGAGUAAUGCUUAGGAAUCUGCCUAUUAGUGGGGGACAACAUUCCGAAAGGAAUGCUAAUACCGCAUACGUCCUACGGGAGAAAGCAGGGGAUCUUCGGACCUUGCGCUAAUAGAUGAGCCUAAGUCGGAUUAGCUAGUUGGUGGGGUAAAGGCCUACCAAGGCGACGAUCUGUAGCGGGUCUGAGAGGAUGAUCCGCCACACUGGGACUGAGACACGGCCCAGACUCCUACGGGAGGCAGUAGUGGGGAAUAUUGGACAAUGGGGGAAACCCUGAUCCAGCCAUGCCGCGUGUGUGAAGAAGGCCUUAUGGUUGUAAAGCACUUUAAGCGAGGAGGAGGCUACUGAGACUAAUACUCUUGGAUAGUGGACGUUACUCGCAGAAUAAGCACCGGCUAACUCUGUGCCAGCAGCCGCGGUAAUACAGAGGGUGCGAGCGUUAAUCGGAUUUACUG
rnacentral:rRNA from 1 species